rnacentral:rRNA from 1 species
CCACCCUCUAAAAUCAGUGGCAGUGCCGUCAGGCUCUAAGCGUAGUAAACCCAUCGCUAUAGACCCGGGCGGACCCUCGCCAGGAACUCCCCCCCAUUUUUAAUGAUUGACCUCGGAUUAGGUAGGGAUACCCGCUGAACUUAAGCAUAUCAAUAAGCGGAGGAAAAGAAACCAACAGGGAUUGCCUCAGUAACGGCGAGUGAAGCGGCAAAAGCUCAAAUUUGAAAUCUGGCUCUUUUAGGGUCCGAGUUGUAAUUUGUAGAAGAUGUUUCGGGUGUGGCUCCGGUUUAAGUUCUUUGGAAUAUUACAUCAUAGAGGGUGAGAAUCCCGUAUGUGACCGGCAGCCUUCGCCCAUGUGAAACUCUUUCGACGAGUCGAGUUGUUUGGGAAUGCAGCUCAAAAUGGGAGGUAUAUUUCUUCUAAAGCUAAAUAUGGGCCAGAGACCGAUAGCGCACAAGUAGAGUGAUCGAAAGAUGAAAAGCACUUUGGAAAGAGAGUUAAACAGUACGUGAAAUUGUUGAAAGGGAAGCGCUUGCACCCAGACUUGCACGCAGUUGAUCAUCCGGGGUUCUCCCCGGGGCACUCGGCUGCGUUCAGGCCAGCAUCGGUUUUGGUGGUUGGAUAAAGGCCUUGGGAAUGUGGCUUCCUUCGGGGAGUGUUAUAGCCCUCGGUGCAAUGCAGCCUACCGGGACCGAGGACCGCGCUUCGGCUAGGAUGCUGGCGUAAUGGUUGUAAGCGACC